rnacentral:lncRNA from 1 species
CAAACAGAAGAAGUUUUUAACAUUUUCAUGUUCUAGGUAUCAACAGAUUUGACAGCAACACUGGAAGAGAUUGAAAGUCUCAGAACAGCAUAACAACUUCUACCUUGUUCUUUCGGACACAUUCUGUGGGAAGCCAGGUGCCAGGUUUGGCAGAUACUCAAACAGCCUGUGGAGAUGCCCAUAUAUGGAAGAAACAAGACUGACAAUGAGAACCAACCUGUUGUGUCACACCUUUUCCUGAACUUUGGCUCAAUUGAAGAAGGAAACUUUCAGGGGAAUUCCAAUAGUAAACAACAGAACCAGCAGUUUUACAAUAAACUGCAGAGCUCCAUUUCAAAACACAAAAAUAGAGCGUCUCUGCAGUGAUGUACUGCCUUAAGGAAGGGUUUGGAUAUUCUGGAACCAGCUGCCCUCAAGUCUUCAUGUAGACUUACAACAUUUUAAGAAUUCCACCUUUGAAGGAGUCUUACAAAACCAUUGCCUUUAUCUACAUUUAGCAGGUAAAUGCAAUGAUUAAAUAUGAAGAAGAGCAUUGACAAGAUGAAAUGGGCUCAUUCUCAGCAAUGUUAUUUCAAAAAGAAAACCUGAGUGAUUCACGUAUUCAUAUGUCCAUCUGAAAAUGUCCUUCUCUCAACAAACUACUCAGUGAAAACUCAUCUUCAUAUAGUUAAUGCUGGAGUGCUAAUAAACUGUUGCAAAUUUCAAAAAUAGUGUCAUAACUUCCUAUACAGAGUCUAAAGAAAGUGGAGGUGUGAUGUAGUCUAGGGUUAUCAAUAGGGCAGCAUGACUUGAUGGGGCUUAAGACUUCUACACAC